rnacentral:rRNA from 1 species
UACGUAGGGUGCGAGCGUUGUCCGGAAUUAUUGGGCGUAAAGGGCUCGUAGGCGGUUUGUCGCGUCGGGAGUGAAAACCUCGGGCUUAACUCGGGGCUUGCUUUCGAUACGGGCAGACUGGAGGUAUGCAGGGGAGAACGGAAUUCCUGGUGUAGCGGCUGAAAUGCGCAGAUAUCAGGAGGAACACCGGUGGCGAAGGCGGUUCUCUGGGCAUGAUCUGACGCUGAGGCACGAAGGCCAGGGGAGCAAACGGG